UGGGGAAUUUUGGACAAUGGGCGAAAGCCUGAUCCAGCAAUGCCGCGUGCAGGAAGAAGGCCUUCGGGUUGUAAACUGCUUUUGUACGGAACGAAAAGGCUCUUUCUAAUAAAGAGGGCCCAUGACGGUACCGUAAGAAUAAGCACCGGCUAACUACGUGCCAGCAGCCGCGGUAAUACGUAGGGUGCGAGCGUUAAUCGGAAUUACUGGGCGUAAAGCGUGCGCAGGCGGUUCUAUAAGACAGAUGUGAAAUCCCCGGGCUCAACCUGGGAAUGGCAUUUGUGACUGUAGAGCUAGAGUACGGUAGAGGGGGAUGGAAUUCCGCGUGUAGCAGUGAAAUGCGUAGAUAUGCGGAGGAACACCGAUGGCGAAGGCAAUCCCCUGGACCUGUACUGACGCUCAUGCACGAAAGCGUGGGGAGCAAACAGGAUUAGAUACCCCCGUAGUCCCUGAGCGGGCUGGCAAGGCGCAU
rnacentral:rRNA from 1 species